GCGGCCUCGGGGCACGGCGGGCCCAGGCCGGAGGAGCUUUCGGUGGCGCGACCCCGCUGGCAUGCUCCCGGCCUCGGCCUCGGCCUCGGCCUUGGCCUCCGGGCCUCCAGCGCACGCGGGGCGUCCAGGGCCUCAUCUUCCCCUGGGGACCGCCCGGCCGUGUCCCGCUGCCCUCGGCGCAGGGGUGGGAGUUGCAGAGAGGAAGAGUCGCUAACCCGGAGUGUUUCUUAAAACUUGGCUGACCUGUGACCUGCGGAUUUGGAGGCUGAAUUCUCCGAGCACCUGUGCGGUGUGCACUUGCUUCUUGCAAGACAGCUUUUGUACCUAACCACAUUCAUUUUGAUUUGGUUUAAUUUUGGAUGGCACUAUGGAAAGUAGCUAAAAUAAACAGGAAGCUACUGCAGGAUAUAAUCUAAGAAAAUAAGGGGAAGAAAACAAGAAAGAGGAAGACAUUGGAUCCAAGAAAUGGGGGAUCUAUCACCUUACAGAUGAAAAGAGAAUCUACAUGAUCUUUGUGAAGGUGAUUUGAGCAUAGCAGCUCUGCAGGAAACCUGGAGAGCAACAAGUGAGAUUAAUACAGGACACACAGCUCUAGUAAGGAUGUCACUAAGGAAAUUAAAAUCAUUUGUUGUAGAAUACUUUAUGAAUCAAUGCAGUAAGAGGAGGUUUACACUUCUGGUGAAGAAUAGGGAAUGAAUUUGUGAUAGGCAUGUAGAAAAUUAUGCAAACAAAUAAAAUAAUAAUCAACUCCUGGGAAAAUAGGAAUUUGUACCAAAAGUGUCAAUAUAAUCUUAUAUAUAUAUGCCUCAGUUUUGAAUAAUAUUUGUCAUUUUAAUUAUGUAAAAACUGAAUAAUUAUCGGCCGGGCACAGUGGCUUACGCUUGUAAUCCCAGCACUUUGGGAAGCUGAGGCAGGUGGAUCACCUGAGGUUAGGAGUUCGAGACCAGCCUGACCAACAUGGAGAAACCCCGUCUCUACUAAAAAUACAAAAUUAGCUGGGCGUGGUGGCGCAUGCCUGUAAUCCCAGCUACUCUGGAGGCUGGGGCAGGAGAAUCGCUUGAACCCAGAAGGCGGAGGUUGCUGUGAGCCGAGAUUGCGCCAUUGCACUCCAACCUGAGCAACAAGAGCAAAACUCCAUCUCAAAACAAAACAAAACAAAACAACAAAAAACUCAAUAAUUAUCAGAGAAAAACACUGUAAUAUAACUAUAUUGAAAGAAUAAGAAGAGAAUGUAAGAGACUAAAUCCGUAUCUCCCACAGAAGGGAGUCAUAGAUAAUAAUAUCUGGAACUGAAAAAAAAAUCAAGAAACAGCAGUUUAAAAUGUGGAGAUAAACACCAAAAGAAACAGCUGAGGCCAGGUGUGGUGGCUCACACUGAAAGACUUGAGCAAGUUUGCUUUUGGGAAUGGAAAUGGAAUUAGAACAUGCAGGUUGUACAGGGAAAAGGGCUGCUCUUUGUCUUUUAGACUUUGAGGAGCUAUUUGGCUUUUAAAGCUCUGUGCAUUUAUAACUUAGAUGGAAAAUAUAAACAAUUUUAGAAAGAAAAAUGACAAUAUAUGUAUUUUUGAGAUAUGGAGGCAAACAUUCUAAACGCUAAAAAGAGAAAAGCUUGAGAGUGGUUUCUUUUGGGGAGCAGGACAGGAGUUGAUUUUCACUGUAAUUAUUACUAAGCCAUUGAUUUUAUAGAGUUGUGAGGCCAUUACCUUGAGACAAAUUUUAAAUAAAAAAAGGAAAGUCCAGGAAGGAAUUCAGGCAUGAGGACAUUUAAGAACUUUGAAUUUUAGCUUUGUUGCUUGUAGUUUCCCAAUUUUAAAAAUCUUUAACAUCUUCCAUACCAGGAGAUAAGCAGUAAAUGAGAGAACACAUUUGGAAGCUCUUGGUAGACUGAAAAUAACUAAGGGAGGUUCCCUUCUUUCCUCUUACAGAUAAAACUUGGUUUUCAAUAGUAUAAACUCAAUCUUUGAAAAACCCACCUCUUUUCCUAGACUCACAAGGGUGCUUCCAUGACAUCUUGGAUAUAAAAGGAAUACUUAGUGUACAUGUGAAUAAUUAAGUCAUUUUUUAAAAUGCCCUAUGUGAAAUAAGAAAUUACCUCUGUGUAAUUCAACUAGUCUUGCAAUGAGACCCUUUCUCCAACAAUAAAGUGCAAUAAAUAAUUUACUCACAUGA
rnacentral:lncRNA from 1 species